rnacentral:rRNA from 1 species
GAUGAACGCUGGCGGCGUGCCUAAUACAUGCAAGUCGAGCGAACGGACGAGAAGCUUGCUUCUCUGAUGUUAGCGGCGGACGGGUGAGUAACACGUGGAUAACCUACCUAUAAGACUGGGAUAACUUCGGGAAACCGGAGCUAAUACCGGAUAAUAUUUUGAACCGCAUGGUUCAAAAGUGAAAGACGGUUUUGCUGUCACUUAUAGAUGGAUCCGCGCUGCAUUAGCUAGUUGGUAAGGUAACGGCUUACCAAGGCAACGAUGCAUAGCCGACCUGAGAGGGUGAUCGGCCACACUGGAACUGAGACACGGUCCAGAGUCCUACGGGAGGCAGCAGUAGGGAAUCUUCCGCAAUGGGCGAAAGCCUGACGAAGCAACGCCGCGUGAGUGAUGAAGGUCUUCGGAUCGUAAAACUCUGUUAUUAGGGAAGAACAUAUGUGUAAGUAACUGUGCACAUCUUGACGGUACCUAAUCAGAAAGCCACGGCUAACUACGUG